UUCUGCUUAGUCACCAGGACUCGUUUAUGCCUACGCUGAGGUUAUUUCCUGUUCAUGUGAUGCGCGGUGGGCAUCUAUUGAAAUUCACACUGGAUCGCACGUCUGCCAAAUUAAAUAUCAAUAAUUUAUGGAUUCUUCGGGGACACAAGGGUGCUGACCUGAUGUACGUCAAGACUCAUAAAUCCCAGUGUGCAAGGAGAGGACAAGUUAA